GGCCGAGUAGCUCAGUGGAUAGAGCAGUUGCCUUCUAAGCAACUGGUCGGGAGUUCGAUUCUCUCCUCGGUCA
rnacentral:tRNA from 1 species